rnacentral:rRNA from 1 species
UACAGAGGGGGCAAGCGUUGUUCGGAAUUACUGGGCGUAAAGGGCGCGUAGGCGGCCUUCUAAGUCGAACGUGAAAUCCCCGGGCUCAACCCGGGAACUGCGUCCGAUACUGGGAGGCUUGAAUCCGGGAGAGGGAUGUGGAAUUCCACGUGUAGCAGUGAAAUGCGUAGAGAUGUGGAGGAACACCGAUGGCGAAGGCAGCCCCCUGGGUCAAGAUUGACGCUCAUGCACCGAAAGCGUGGGGAGCAAACAGG